CAGAGGGCGCCCGCGCCCAGGCCGCUAAGCCCUCAGCGCAUGCGCUGCGGGCGCCCGCGGAUUUUGUCAGAAAGUGGAAACUCUCCGCGAAGGCUUUCCUCGCCGCUGCGGCUCGCGCCUUGCUUCUUCCCCUAGGUUCACCUGCCUGCCCGAGUGACUGAGAGCCGAGCGGACCGGCCCCCGCCGCCCGGAACGCACUUCCAGUCCCAUGGAGCCCGAACUCCUGCUCGGCAUCUCUACUUUCCGCUCCGGCUGAGCUGCUCUGGAGCCCGAGACCGGGGAGGCGCGACUCUCGGCCCACAGCCGCACCGCCGCCGGGUGCUGUCCGCCCUCCGAGACCCGCGCCAGAGCCUUUGAAACUGGCAGAGGACGCUGCACCAGGAAAUCUGUGGACUUGGGAUGAGGCAAGCCCCUGGACUGCUCUGAGGACAGGGCUCUGGAUACUGGAGACCAUUGCUGGGCUCAUGCUUGGCCUCUUGCAGUAGAGACCUGGACACCAGAGUGACCAGAUGCCUGGGCUGAGCAGAGAUAGUCAAUAGGAAGGACAUUGAGGCACCCUGUGGGUGUGAGUACACAGAGGUGAGGCUCGCUGGGGCUAAGGACCCUCUAGGGAAGAGGCACCUUCUGAGCUUCUCUGAGAUCUUGUCAGACUCAAACUCCACUUCCCUCAGGUUACUGAACUGUGUGGUGUAUUUCUCCUAAACUUGUUUCAUUCUGUUUUGCCCCCACUUUGCUGGGACUUGAUGAUGCAGGGUGUGGACAUGGUGCUAAAUGCUUUCUUACCAUCUCAAGUAAUUUGAUCCUCACAAGGUUAGCUGUGGCCAGUCUUUUCUACGUUUGGCAGAAGAGAAAACUGAAGCUCACUGGAGUUAGAUCACUUAUCCAAAGUCACAGAGCUGGACAGUUCUGCAGCUAAAAUUCAAGCCAGGCUCUACACCCAGAUGAUACUGCUUUUGAGUGCUCUGUGCUGGUGCUGAGCAUGUGACUAAUGUAAUUACUAGUGCAGUGAGGUUGCAGGGGCAGCUUUCUUACCUGUGCAGAGUUAACAUAAGCCAGAUUUCCUCAGCUUCGGCACUACUGACAUUGGGACCAGAGAAUUCUUUGUUGAGGGGACUAUCUUGUGUGUUGUAGGAUGUUUGGCAGCAUCCCUGGUGUCUCCACCCACUAGGUGCCAGUAACACCCUCAUCUUUGCCUGGUUGUGACAACCCAGAAUAUCUCCAGACUUUGCUAAAAUAUAUCCUAGGAGACAAAAUUGAUCUUGGUCGAGGCAGAAUCACUGACAUGAACUAACGUUAAUUUACCAAUAAAGAAAAAACUGUGUGUGUGUAAUUUCUUUGU
rnacentral:lncRNA from 1 species